rnacentral:lncRNA from 1 species
AGCCCUCUCUAGGCUGCCGGGCUGCUUCUUGUACUACGGAGGGACUAGAGAAAAGGCUCAGAGGCUAAGAAUAUGCAUGCACCACCCAUGCAGAGGACCUGAAUUCUGUUCCCAGCACUCAUAUCAGGUGGAUCACAACUGCGUCGAACUCCAGCUCCAGGGGAGCUGAUACCCUCUACUGGCCAAUGUGGCAAAACAUGUGGUGAGGUCACAGAUGGUCAGAGGUCAGCACCACCCAGAGAGAGGCCAGACCUACGGAGUAAUUAAAGCCCCAGCAGUCAGGGGUGAACUGGCAAAGAUGAACUAACCUGAAACCCCUCCUCUGUGGAAGACCAUCUCCCCACCUCUCACCUGAGACGGCAUCAGGCCAUCUCUCCAGAGCUAAGCAAAAUGAAUGUGAAAUUUGAUGACAGACUGAGGAUCAUUGCAGUCCCCAAAGAAGACACAUGAAUGGCCAAAGAUUUGCAUUUCGUCAUUAAGUCUCAGAAGCAGCUUUGCGAAGUCGGCAGCAGGAAGGGAAGGAGAUGUUCUGGAUGGUUCUGUCUCCAAAGGUCCUGUCCCACAGUUACCUGGCAACAGCCAGGUGUGCCUGACUCACUAUAAAAGGGGCUGCAUGUCCCCUCCUCUCUCUUGCUCUCUUCUCUUUUCUUUUGGGCCCAGCCUCCACGCCUGUGGGAUGAGUUGCUCCGCUAGCUUGUUGCCCAAAGCUGUAGCACACAAUGUAGCAGCUGUGGUUAAAAUGGCCGAAUAAUAAAGUCCUGAGUCAUUUCU